UUUGAAUUCAGGUUGAAUAAAAAUAAAAGUCUGAAAGGUGGAAAUGACGUGCAGCAAGGAUGCAGGCAGGUGGGGGCAUCGUACAGAUUCUCUUGAGAUCAUUUUAUUCAUCUCAAAUGAUUUUAGCUGAUAGAUUUCCUGUUCUUAUUUCACAACAGUAAGUGUAAUUUAGUUAGCUUACAUGCUUCUCCAGCUACGUGUCAUCGAGAAGGUUUUUAUUUAAAUGUAAACCUAAAAUGUAACAGUCUUCUCUUCCUCCUCACAUUUAUCUUGCAACAUCGACCUCCUGGCUGCACCUCACCCUCCUCUGCAUCUGCUAAACACCCGAAGUGCAGCGCCAGGCAUGGCCAUGUGCGGCUUUUUUGGCGGCUGUUUCCCGCCUGGGUCGUAGGAACGUUCCUGCUGGUUGGAACUUCUAUCGUUUGUGUGGAGCUGCUCGACUCGCCGAUACCUCUGAAGGUGACAUGGAUGCGCGGCGCUUGUGCUUUAAUUAUCUCUGUGUGUCCACAGAGCUUUUUUUCUCUCUCCUUUGGAACCGAGCUCCCUCGUGUCUCCGGCACAUUUGGAAGUGGGGCACGGUGCCUGGGCGGGACAGCUGGGAGGCGAGGCGGCAGCCAGGGUGGCGCGGUGGCUGGAGGAACGCCAACUGCUCUCAAACAGAUGGUGGCCCCUGGAGCAAUGCAGGACGUACACAGAAGGGACUGGGUUGGAUUUGGAUUGCCUUAAGUCCUGUAGUGAUCCACAGCUGCCGUUUGACUCCAGCAGAAUCGUGA
rnacentral:lncRNA from 1 species